UAAUUGGAUCAGAAUUUGUACUGGAUUACACAAGCGAAUUUACAACUUACGAGGUGUUCUUGUUGCCGGGACAUCCCGUUCCGCCAGUAGCGACCAACUGGCGAAAAUAUCAUCUUCUUUGUGCUACCGGAUGGAAAAAUUCAUAUUAAGCACGGAUUCAACAGUUCAAAGAGAGCAUCUCACCUAAUGUUAUAAUUAGCGAGACAGUAGAGUUAGAUUGAUUGUUUAUAUAUGUACAAUUUUUGAAAGUUAUAAAUUUUUUUGGGCUCUUAGAGUCAUGUACUGUGAAACUCCAUCAUCAAUAUAAAUCAAAAAAUAUCUGUCUUCGCAUU